AGAUCGAUAAAAAAAAAUAUCGUUGUGAGGAGGGUGAUCUUCUUCCUGACCCCACUAUCUUUCGGCAAUUAGUUGGGAGCCUCAAUUACUUGACCAUCACUAGACUCGAUAUACCAUUCGCUGUCCAGCAAGUCAGUCAAUUUAUGCAAGCUCCUCGACAUCUCCAUCUUGGGGCUAUUCGCCGCAUCAUUAGGUAUCUUUAGGGUACUUCUCGUCGUUGAUUGUUUUUCCUGCUGGCUCUCAUAUUCAUCUUGUGACAUUCAAUGAUGCGGAUUGGGCUGGGUGUCCUGAUACUCGUCAUUCUGUUACAGGGUGGUGUAUGUUUCUAUGUGAUUCUUUAACUUCCUGGAAAAGUAAAAAGCAGGUCCAAGUGUCCAAAUCAUCGACUGAAUCUGAAUAUCGUGCCAUGUCCGUUGCUUGUUUUGGGAUUGUUUGGUUUCGUGGAUUGUUAGCUGAACUUGGCUUCUCUCAGUCUGACCCUACUCCUCUUCAUGCGGACAACACACAUGCUAUUCAGAUUACUGCUAAUCCGGUAUUCCAUGAGUGUACAAAGUAUAUCGAAAUGGAUUGUCACUCCAUUAGAGAGGCUUUCGAUACUGGUAUUAUUUCUCUUCCGCAUAUCUCCACUAAUCUUCAGAUCGCCGAUUCACCAAAGCCUUGACACGAUAAUGUCAUCUCUUUCUUGUUAGCAAGUUGAUGCUUAUUGACCACCCAACAUUAAUUUGAGGGGGGAUGUCAAUUGGAUAUGGACAUGUGCUGCACGAAUUUAAGGAAACUUAUUUACAGCCAACAAUUGAGAAAAAAUACCUUGUAUAUUAACUGUAGAUUUCCACUGUAAUUGGUACGAAUUUAGUGUCUCUAUGUACAGUACAGUGAUAGCUGAAUUUCAGCAUUGUAACGAGAUCUAUUGCUCCUAUUUAAACAAAGGAAUUCUCACAAUGUGGAUCAUCGAGUGAAAAGACAGAAAAUUUAUAGUAUUCUUGUCAAACCAUGCCUCCUAUAUAUCUGUAUAGGAUUGCUAUCAUCAAGUCGAUGGAGUUGUUAUUCUUGUUAGGUGCUCUAACAGAAGCAAAGUAAAUUGUCUGAUCCAUUUGGGCAAAAGAUGGCCAGGCUUCCACUGGAUCCUAUUUAUUCCUAGGCUUUCAUUAUUGCUGUGAAUUUGAUUGUUUGGAAGAAAUGUUAAUAGUUGUUGCAAUGCUUUCUGUGGAAUCUAUCUACUAUGCUCCCUGUGAAAAGUUGGAAGAGGUAUGGAUGUAUGACCUUCUAAAGUAUUGCGUUCGAUGAUAUGUGCUUUAAGAGCAUGUUUGGUGCACUCUACUAGACAUCGCUCGACUCAGUGGUACAAUAUGCACAGGAUUUUAACAGAAUGUUUGUCUGGCAAAUAUAUAUAUAUCUAUUUAGAGAGAUUUUGUCUUAACCUUGGGAUUUGGUGGAUGCACUUUAUUUUCUUAAUGCAAUACUUCACAGCUAGUUCUUUGCGAGCAGAUAUCUAAAACUCCUUUCUGUUUUGCAGUCUUGAAUUGCUUUGAGGCGCUUCUCAAGUCCGGAGGGGGAUCAUUUGACUUUGCUGAAUGUAUUUCGUGCUUCUGAUGAGUUCUUGUAGAAGAGCAACUUAGUGAACAGCAAUGAAAAAGCUGAAAAAAAUGUCAGAAAAUGGUGCAAGGAAAAUUUUAUCAAUGGCUGGUCCCUAAAGCAUGCUCGUGACAUCCACAGGUUGGUAAUGCCCACUUGGCCAGAAAUUAAUGGUAAACCUCGCAGUUACCUGAAUAAUACUCUUGAUUAUAAACUUCUUUUAAUUGAAAUUGCUCUAUAAUGUAUUAACAUGUCCAUUUUAUCAGGCUUCCUAAGAUUUAGUUUCAAACUGUGAUAUCUUAAAGACAGGCUAUACAAUAUUCUUUUGGCAUUAUUUCCUCCUUUUCUUUUAGCGGUUUUCUCCGAAUAAAGUUUCUCUAGAUGUCUAUUUCUAAGGUUCAUUUGGCACUUCAUUUAUAGUCAAAAACAGAGGAAUGCAGAACGAAUGGGUCUCCGUGUCACUUCAUGUGGAGACGACAUGCUUCCUUUUCGCAGGUGCCUAGCUGCUUCCUUUUUUCUUAAUGCAGCUUUGAAGCAGCCUGAUGGUACGUACAGGUAAAAGAAUACAUUUUUGGCAGUACUUCCCAUGGUGAUUUAAUUUACUUCAGAGGGCUUUGUCAAGUGGUCUUACGGUGCAAAUCCAUCCGUCGUCUGUUUUAUUCCGGAUGAAACCAGAGUGCUUAAUUUUUGAUGAAUUAGUCUGAACUAAUCAUAAUUAUAUUCGAAACAUUUCUAGAAUAGAUUACUUGUGGUUAGCUGAGCUGGCUCCUCAUUGUUAUGCCUUGAAGAAAUUGGAAUAAAAGUUCCAUCUGGGUAAAAGAACUAUUUGUGGUAUAUAUAUAUGUAAACUAGUCUUCUGUUAUUUGAGAUUCAAAAAAAAAUAUUCAAUCUGAAUUAGCUCGUUUGAAUUUAAAUGAACUUCAUGGUUCAAUGCCUUGGAUUUCAUUGGUUCAUUAUUACUUCCAAGUUCGAUUUUUCAUAUGAGACAAGCCUAAUCUUAAGAAAAGAAAGGUUUUGAUUCAUCCUUGCUUGAGAUUUCACCCAUUGUAUUACAAGUGAAAUUUCAGUAUUUGAAUCUCUCUUCUUUGAAACGGCUCGAGCUGAGUUCGUGGCCUCACCCUGUAGGCUGGGACAACAGAGAAAAUGUUAAGAGAGUUAUUGCGGCUGAUUUUUGUUCUUGAUAUGCUGAGGUUUAAUGUUUACUUUGUCUUGCAACAGGAAAGGUUCUUUGCUCCAUAUUAGGGGUUCUGAAGCUGGGCUUUCAUACUAGGAGGCAAUCUUUAUGGUUGCACAAAUUCAAUCAGCAUUUCAUGGAGAACGAGUUUUCAAGCCCCGAGAUGGGAUAAACUUGGUGAAUAUCUAGGAUGAGAUGUUUAAAUGCCUCUGCUUAGGAAGAUGGAUGGCUCGUUUGCAGUUGGCAUCGUACAUGAUGGAGAAUGCAUUUGCUUUAGCCAGUGGAUCUUCGUACCAUUCAAAAGAUCGUAGGACGCUGAAGCUAGUCUACGAGACAUUGAUAGCAUUAUCAAGAUCUCAAGGUUUCAUUUUUCGCUAUCUUGGUCUGUUUUUCUCUUCUACUGAACAAGGUACAAGGAAACAUUGUAUUUAUUGCAAGUGAAUUGUGGAAAAUGGCAUAACUGUGAAUGUAUAGCUUUUCUUGGGUACAAGGUUACAAGUGAUGCACACCUCUCAUUCAAGCAUAGCUUUUAAAGGCCAUGUAAUUCUAAACCAAAAUUAUUCUCGUAAUUUGUUAAAAUCCUUCUCCAUGUGAGGAAUGCCAUCACGCAA